rnacentral:rRNA from 1 species
AGACGGAGGGGGCUAGCGUUGUUCGGAAUUACUGGGCGUAAAGCGCGCGUAGGCGGUCCGUUUAGUUAGGCGUGAAAGCCCUGGGCUCAACCCGGGAACUGCGUUUAAAACUGGCGGACUAGAGUCCGGGAGAGGGUGGCGGAAUUCCCAGUGUAGAGGUGAAAUUCGUAGAUAUUGGGAAGAACACCGGUGGCGAAGGCGGCUACCUGGACCGGACCUGACGCUGAGGUGCGAAAGCGUGGGGAGCAAACAGGAUUAGAAACCCCUGUAGUCC